GACGAACGCUGGAGGCGUACUUAACACAUGCAAGUCGAACGAUGAAAUGGAGCUUGCUCCAUGGAUUAGUGGCGAACGGGUGAGUAACACGUGAAUAACCUGCCCUUAAUUUUGGAAUAACCCAGGGAAACCUGGGCUAAUACCGGAUAAGUAAACCUGUGGCAUCACAUGGUUUUGGAAAGUUUUUCGAUUAAGGAUGGAUUCGCGGCCUAUUAGGUUGUUGGUGAGGUAAUGGCUCACAAAGGCGACGACGGGUAGCCGGCCUGAGAGGGUGAACGGCCACACUGGGACUGAGACACGGCCCAGACUCCUACGGGAGGCAGCAGUGGGGAAUAUUGUGCAAUGGACGAAAGUCUGACGCAGCGACGCCUCGUGAGGGACGAAGGUCUUCGGAUUGUAAACCUCUUUCAGCAGGGACGAAGCGAAAGUGACGGUACCUGCAGAAGAAGCACCGGCUAACUAUGUGCCAGCCGCCGCAGUAAAAC
rnacentral:rRNA from 1 species